AACGAACGCUGGCGGCAGGCUUAACACAUGCAAGUCGAGCGAGACCUUCGGGUCUAGCGGCGGACGGGUGAGUAACGCGUGGGAACGUGCCCUUCUCUACGGAAUAGCCCCGGGAAACUGGGAGUAAUACCGUAUACGCCCUUUGGGGGAAAGAUUUAUCGGAGAAGGAUCGGCCCGCGUUGGAUUAGGUAGUUGGUGGGGUAAUGGCCCACCAAGCCGACGAUCCAUAGCUGGUUGGAGAGGAUGAUCAGCCACACUGGGACUGAGACACGGCCCAGACUCCUACGGGAGGCAGCAGUGGGGAAUCUUAGACAAUGGGGGCAACCCUGAUCUAGCCAUGCCGCGUGAGUGAUGAAGGCCUUAGGGUUGUAAAGCUCUUUCAGCUGGGAAGAUAAUGACGGUACCAGCAGAAGAAGCCCCGGCUAACUCCGUG
rnacentral:rRNA from 1 species